rnacentral:lncRNA from 1 species
CCAUGGAGGUGAGCCUUUUAGCUGAUCCACAUAUUUGAUUGUAUUUCUGUUUUGUUUCUUCUUUUUUCCUACUGCGAUGUGUGGUAUCGAAAAGAUCUUGUGGAGGUGGUGUCCUGACCAAACAUCCCAACAAGUGGGAUCAGAAUGAGGCAGUACGAAGAUGCAGAUUACGAUGGUGGUGAGCAAGAUUGAAGAUGGAGAAGAUAGGCUCAAUCAAAGUGGAGAUCAAUCGGU